rnacentral:rRNA from 1 species
GAUGAACGCUGGCGGCGUGCCUAAUACAUGCAAGUCGAGCGAACAGACGAGGAGCUUGCUCCUCUGACGUUAGCGGCGGACGGGUGAGUAACACGUGGAUAACCUACCUAUAAGACUGGGAUAACUUCGGGAAACCGGAGCUAAUCCCGGAUAAUAUAUUGAACCGCAUGGUUCAAUAGUGAAAGACGGUUUUGCUGUCACUUAUCGAUGGAUCCGCGCCGCAUUAGCUAGUUGGUAAGGUAACGGCUUACCAAGGCGACGAUGCGUAACCGACCUGAGAGGGGGAUAGGCCACACUGGAACUGAGACACGGACAAGACGCCUACGGGAGGCAGCAGUAGGGAAUCUUCCGCAAUGGGCGAAAGCCUGACGGAGCAACGCCGCGUGAGUGAUGAAGGUCUUCGGAUCGUAAAACUCUGUUAUGAGGGAAGAACAAAUGUGGAAGUAACUAUGCACGGCUUGACGGUACCUAAUCAGAAAGCCACGGCUAACUACGUG